CCCUUAGAUGUCCGGGGCCGCACGCGCGCUACAAUGGAUGAAUCAACGCGUCAUCCUGGCCCGAAAGGGUUGGGGAACCGCUGAACCUCAUCCGUGGUUGGGAUUGGGGUUUGUAAUUAUUCCCCAUGAACUAGGAAUUCCCAGUAAGCGCGAGUCAUAAGCUCGCGUUGAUUACGUCCCUGCCCUUUGUACACACCGCCCGUCGCUACUACCGAUUGGAUGGUUUAGUGAGAUCCUCGGAUUGGUCACGGCACGGCGGCAACACUGCGUCGGUGUGCCGAGAAGACGAUCAAACUUGAUCAUCUAGAGGAAGUAAAAGUCGUAACA
rnacentral:rRNA from 1 species